UGGGGAAUAUUGGGCAAUGGACGCAAGUCUGACCCAGCAACGCCGCGUGAAGGAAGAAGGCUUUCGGGUUGUAAACUUCUUUUAAGGGGGAAGAGGAGAAGACGGUACCCCUUGAAUAAGCCACGGCUAACUACGUGCC
rnacentral:rRNA from 1 species